GUGAAUCAUCAAAUCUUUGAACGCAAAUGGCACUCUCUGGUAUUCCGAGGAGUAUGCUUGCUUGAGGGUUAGUGAAUUACAAUCGUAAAAAAAAAUUUUUACGUAUCUUGAUGUGCCAAAAGUUGUAGUAUUGAUAAUGUAAAGGUUAGCAUAACAAUAGGUAAUAUUGGAGAUAUGUAUUUUUUAUUCAUUGACAAUUAUUACAAAAUUUGUUACGUCGGUUUAGUUUCCUGAUUUCUUAAUUAUGUAAAAGUAAUACAGUUUUUCUUUUGAAAUCUGACCUCAAGUCAAGUAAGAAUA
rnacentral:misc_RNA from 1 species